AUUGUGACUAGCAACCUUCACUACUUGUGAAUAUAAGUUCAUAACGAUUAGGUGAAACUCCCUUAUAUUCUAGCAUCAAAUUCAUGCAUGAAAAUUAAGCGUGCACUCUCAACCAACAUACACAAAUUAGUUUUUAUACGAACGGAUAAGUAAAUUGAAUUCACAAUUCAAGAAACGCAAUUGGAAGUAAUCAAAUCAUAUAGCAAGCAUAAACAUGGUUUUGAAUCCCCCCCCCUAGCCAAGGGGGGUUUAGUUCCUCAUUAUUACAAAACAAAGAUAAACAAAUUUAACCAUUGAAAAAACAAAGGGAAGAAAGCACCUAAACGUUCCAACGAUCCAUGUUGGAUAGCAAGCGCGUCCAAGGACUUUUCUCCUUCUCCUUGCCGCCCCAACAAGGUUGGAAUGAUGUUGAAGGGUUGGUUAUUUGGAGGAAUGGAUGGGAAGGGGUUUAGAUAUG
rnacentral:lncRNA from 1 species